rnacentral:other from 1 species
ACAUUCCUGAUGUGUGCGACAAGCUUAUUAUGUUCAACCUACAUUAUAUAUACGGGAUUCGCAAUAUGGUUAUGGAUGUCGGGCUUUAGUAACUAGAAGAAGGCAGAAGUAAUCUGAAGCUUAACCCACCUGCUAGUAGCAGGUUUGGAUGUAUAGGCACCGGCAUGUUGGGAAAUAA